GAAUGUUUGGGACUAUUAGGUGCCCAGUGGCAGGACUAGAGGCAAUGGGCACGAACUGAAGCACAGGAGGUUCCCUCUGAGCAUCAGGAAACACUUUUUCAACUGUGAGGUAGCACAGUUUCCCAGAGAGGGGUCACCCAGCAUCUCUAAAGCCAAGUUCAUGGUCUGAAAUUCUGCUCUCUGGAGGAUAUUUACAUGUGCACUUCCCACAGAUCAACCACACUUUUCCAGAGGCAUCGCUGUUGGAAUAAAGCCCCUAAGGAAGACUCCGUGCCAAGCAGCAAAAUGGCAGUCUUGCUUUGCAGUGCCAACACAGAUGUCACUCACCACUGGCAGCUCACACUGAGCUGCUGCAGCCUGAGGAGCCCACUCUUCAGACACAGAAGGCAGCUCUGAAUCCAUCC